rnacentral:lncRNA from 1 species
CUGGAUAUAGUUAUCAUUAUAUUAUGAAUAAAAUAUAAUUUAGGAGUUUGAAUUCUUACAACGGAGCUCUACCACAUGAUCUAGAGUAAGAAGAAAGAGUGACAGUCCUAAAUGCCCUAUAGCCUCCUGCUUAUAAGUAUGGUGGACAACACACCCAUAAAUAAGACUCUACUAGUAGACUCCGAAGGUCAGAAUUGCUCUGAUACCACUUCUGUCAUGACCCAAAACCGAAAGGCAGUGACGGGCACCCGGUGCCUAACUCAACCGAGUACCAACAUAACAUAUCUUUCUUAUCAUACGAUCAUGUGUAAAUGAGACAUAAAGGCCGUCAUGAGAUAACCAUAAUAAAACAUAAGAGAAUACGUGACAUAGGAUGACACACAUGGAAUACAAACUUAUAUAUGUGACAUACGAGCCUAUAAUACCAAAAUUGUCACUUGCACACUCAAAAUAUAGGCCGACAAGGCCAUACAAUCUAUCAUAUGCAUAUCAUUUGUCUAAAAGCCUCUAAGAGUAGAUAAAUUUCAUAAAUAUUGGGAUAGGGCCCCGCCAUACCAAUCAAUACAUGUCCAAAGCAUACUGACAAAAGUAACAACUCCAGAGCAAGUGGAGUGCACCAACACUUUCCGCUGAGCUGAUAGCCUACUAGGAGGACUGCCAACCUGUCUAUCGGGACCUACGGGCAUGAAACGCAGCGUCCCCAGGCAAAAGGGAAGUCAAUACAAAUAAUGUAAUGAGUAUGUAAUGCAUGAAAAAUAGUAUAUAAAAGACAUAAAAGAAACAUGGAGUAAAAGACUCAAACUGUAAGUGUAAAUAACUUAGUGAAUCAUAUAACAUUUAUAGUGUCAUGUAUAUGUGUAUAAAUAUCAUAUAAUGCAUAGGUAUAUGCGUAUAUAACAUCAUCCAGCCUCUGAGGGCAUCCCAUCACAUCAUCUCGGCCUCAGUGCGCGAAAUCAUUAGCGUAUGCCAAUUGAUCACGUGGUGGUGCGUAUAUAAUAUCGUAACCUUUCCCCAUACCCCAAAUACAUAUAAUAUAUGCGUAUAUAAUGCCAUAUGGUCAUGAGUCAAUGUACACUUAUAAAUGAAUGCAAUGCAUAAUGAAGUACAUCAAUAAGAUAUUUCGGACUGUCAUAAGAUCAAUAUGCCUUCAGAUAAACUUUAUCAACUUGCAUAUUUUCUGAGAGCCAUGUACGAACGAUAUAAUAAUAGGACACAUGGGGAAUCAAGAACAUAGGCGCCCUUAGUACUUCUAUGAACAGAGUCAUCUACAAAAGUUGCUUGUUUGCUCGUUUCGUUUGUAUCAUAUGGAUAAUACCAGAAGGAAAUAAGGGAUAGCCUUGAAAUACCUCCGUCGUUUACUUAACCUCAUGGAGUUGGUUCAACCCGUUAGUACUUCAAUCUACAACAAUGAUAUGACAUCAUUGUUAAGCUUACGGAAGCUAGAAUUUAACACAAAUGAGCGACUAGCUCGUCUACGAGUAAUUGGACAACACCUUCCCUUAUUCUUGUCCUUUUCCUCAAAUCAAACAACAAGACCAUCAUGCCUAGAAUGUCAAAAACAUAUUACAUCAAUUUCUCACCUUAAAAUCCAUCGCAAUAUAUCACCAAAACAGUCCACACAAUCUCGCACAACAACCAGUGCUACUUUGCACUUUUCCAUCCCUAAAAUUUAGCUAUAACAUUUGAGUACAUUUCAAUACUAACAAGCACAAUAUACUCAGGUUAUACAUACUGAUUUUUAAGCCACAACACAACAUAAAAUAGAACACAUAGCAAUCCACAAAUUACAGCAACUCAAAAUUGACUUUUAGAUUAUUACUUCAUCAAUUCAUACUCUCACAACUUAGUUAAUGCACGAAUAAGCUUAAAAUAACAUGUCCAAGCCAAUAUUCACAUGUGUCAACCAUAUAAUAACAUGAAACUACUCCAAACAAUCCAUAACACCUCAACAACUUCAACUCAGAUAAACUAAAAUAAAUGAAGAAGAUUUGAUUUUCUUACCCAGAUUAGAUCUUGUAAGGAUGAAAAAAAGGUAGUAUCUUUCCCUUUAUGACCAUUAACUUGCUACACAUCAGUUCCUUUAAGAUUGGAGAUUACCCUUUAACUUGAAUUGAAAGAAGAAGAAGAUUAUCGGCAACUUCUUGAGGGUUUUGUGUAGAUCAAUUUGGGAGAGAAUUUCGUUGCUAUACUUGCAUAUUAUGAGGAGAGGUGUCUUGAUUCAUCCCCUAAAAAGGCCCUCUUACC